rnacentral:rRNA from 1 species
UACGUAGGGUGCAAGCGUUGUCCGGAUUUACUGGGCGUAAAGAGCGCGCAGGCGGUCGUCAAGUCGAGUGUGAAAGCCCCCGGCUCAACUGGGGAGGGUCACGCGAUACUGCUCGACUCGAAGGCAGGAGAGGGAAGUGGAAUUCCCGGUGUAGUGGUGAAAUGCGUAGAGAUCGGGGAAGAACAUCGGUGGCGAAAGCGCUCUGCUGGACUGCAAACUGACACUCAGGGACGAAAGCUAGGGGAGCGAAUGGG